GAGGUGCUGGGGAGGAGCAGUGCAGCACAACAGGACCCCCCUUCAACGGGAGCCUCCAGGCGACCUACCAGGCCGACCCGGAUGAGCCUGAUAGAAGUCAGAGAUGAGGGAGGGGUCCAAAAUAAGGGCCCACGAGACCC